CACAACUUGAGGUCAUGGUCGGGGCUGGUUGUUGGCUGCCCUUUUAAUCACAUACACUGGUCCAGCAGGGAAAUCCUCUUAACAAAAUGUUGCUCAACUGUUUGAUAUUUGUAUUAAGAUAUUUUUAACGAAAUUUAAAAAUCUGAAGAAUGUUAAGAGCACGUCAGGAUAUGUGACUCCUGCAUUAAUAUGAUGCUGUUUAAAUAUCAACGGCAAACAAAAUCUGAGCCAAAAGGGAUGUCCAAUCGAUGGCGUUGGCAGUGGAUGUGUAAGACGAAAAGAGAUUGGCGUGAAGAGAGCAGCAAAGCAAUUUAAUGUGCCGAUAACAACGUGUUCGCAUAGACUUUAUACUACAGUCCUGUAUAUGUGCUAAAGUACUAAACGGAACAACGACCAUUAAUUAAUUAAACAAUUAUGCAUUAUCGAUGAUGAUGAUUUUCUUUUAUUUAUUUUACUUUUAAUAUCACUUAAUUAUACUUCUUUUGUGCUAAACUUCAUUUAAAUUACAUAAAAAAUAAAUUUUAAGCAAGAAAUUGGCUAUAAUAUGUAUUAUGUUUUACAGGGGGCCAUUUCACCUGAACCGGUGAGGUGAAAUGGACCCAUAGCUUGUUUACACAAUGACGUCAUUUAAUUGUAGAUUGCAAAAUAAUUAUCACCAAUUUUUAUAUUCAUUGUGAAGGGUAUAUAUGCCUCUUCAAUUGACAUAAUUAGGUACAUUACCGUAUACGUUAUGGCAUUAUGUGUGUAUGAAGCAAUUUUAUGCUCAGGGGUCCAUUUCCCCUUACUUUACCCUAAAGCAAAUUCUGUUAUUGCCGAUGUAUCUUCAUAAAAACUGAUUUAAGCCAACAUCUGUGCUAAGUUUUCAAUACAGGACUUUCUGAGCUCGAUAGAGCAUGAUAUUCAUUCUUUGAAUAAAACAUUUCAAAAUAAAUAAAUAAAAACUGAAACUGAUUGUAGAGAUCCUUUCUUCAAUAAACUUAACUCCACCGCAUA